rnacentral:rRNA from 1 species
UACAGAGGUCCCGAGGCGUUGAUUCGGAUUCACUGGGCGUAAAGGGUGCGCAGGGUGGGUUGGCAAGUUCGAUGUGAAAGCCCCGGGCUUAACCCGGGAAUGGCAUUGGAAACUGCUGAUCUGGAGGAUCGGAGGGGGGACUGGAAUUCUUGGUGUAGCAGUGAAAUGCGUAGAAUAUCAGGAGGAACACCGAUGGCGAAAG